AACCAAGCGCCCGAUCUCUGGGGCAGCAGUGGAGGCGACCGGACAGAGUGCAGGCCAAGGCACUGUUAUUGCCGCGCAGGCGAAGGGCGUUACUACCGCGGAUGACGGCACUUUCCGAAUAGCCGACCUGCCUUCUGGCGCUUACGCAGUGGUGAUCAGGCGAAUUGGCUACGCCAAGGUUUCCCGCUCCGUCACCGUUGGAGAGAACGCCACCACCAAUCUUGACAUUGCGCUCGAAACCAGCGUCAAUGCCUUGGAUCAAGUUGUGGUCACAGGUACCGUGGCGGCUACCGAGCUCAAGGCGGUGCCGAACGCCAUCACAGUGAUAACCGCCAA
rnacentral:misc_RNA from 1 species